rnacentral:hammerhead_ribozyme from 1 species
GCACUGCUGAGGAGUCCCGGACUAGGACGAAACGGCCGUCCAGUGC